GCGGCGGUGGAUCGAGAGUAAGAUCUCGGCCUGAUAUACUGAACGUUCCGAGUUCAAAUCUCGGCCGCCGAU
rfam:Trichomalopsis sarcophagae strain Alberta scaffold9788, whole genome shotgun sequence.